rnacentral:lncRNA from 1 species
AAAGUAAUUGCAAAAAAAAAAAAAUAGUAGACACGUGGAUUUCACCCUGAUAACAUACGGAUGUGAUUUUAUUUAGUCUGUUUCUUUCAAAGAACCUUUGGGGUACUUCUGAAUGUGCUGGGUCCAGGGUUACUGGGGGGACAUAAAAAGAAGGUCAGAGACAUGACGAGAGGGAGAAUUACCUGCAAAAUACUUAGAAAUGUUGAAAGCAAAUAUAGCACUUUUAAUGACUAUUUGAGCUCUCAGGAAAUGGAAAGAAAAUAUUCAAGGGUCAAAACAGAAGAGGAAACUGAACCCCAGAGUGUUAGGCACAUGGAGUUGUGCUGGUGGGUCCUGGGGUUGCUGUGAUGGGUAUCUGUCAGUUCAGGGAAAAGAAAGGAUGUCCCAGGCCUGAGAAAGAUGGGAAGUAGACUUACAUCUCUGUGUUAGGGCUCCUGAAAGGAUGACCCGAAGGUGAAUCUGCCCUCCUUCGUUAGGAGAGAAAACGAAAGAUUAGGAACCACCAACGUAGUGUUGGAAGCCUGAUGGAAUCUGGGUAGGAAAAAAGACACAAGAGUGACAGAUGAUGUUUUGGGGCAAUUGGGAAAAGUGACUAUUGGCUGGAUAGUAGGUCAUACUAUGGAAUUUUUGUUAAUUUUCUUAGAUGUGAUGACAUUAUUUUAGAUGUGAGAUGAUAUUAGAGGUGUGAAUGUCCUUAUUUUUAUAAUUUGCAUGCAGUAGUAUCUAGGGGUAAAGUGUGUCACAAGAGAGUUCAGAGCUUUACUUGAUAUGAAUAUUUUAUUGAGUGAGAAACAAACUGUUCGUGAACAGGGGACUUCAGAAGUGACAGGGGUGAGAAGCUCUUCUCUCAGCGAUUACAGCUUGAUUCAUGAAGCGUGAAUGAGGAAGAGCGUUGUUUUCUGUUGUCCCUGGUUACUGGAAAUGCACGUUCCUUUUCAGGUGGUGACACCCCAUGAGUUUACUGGCAUGUAGCUGAUUGGCUAGGAAACUGCAAGGUUCCACUGACAGGAAGAAGGCUUAAAUUUGUUUAAAGUCGGUGUCAACAUUUGGGAGAAAUGAGGACAGUUGUAGUUUUGGUUAUGUGGCUACAGGUGGUGGCUUAGGGGUGCAUGCAGACUGUGAUCUCUGUUUUGGUUUUUCUUUAACGAGUAUUAUGAUGUG